GAAAAGCUAUAUCAAUUAUAAAUCUAUUCGGGAGCAAUUUAUUUUCUUCAAGUCUUCGACUGUGUAUAUUUACUGAACUAGUCAAUUGAUUGAGAAAAUACAAAAUGAGUAUUUUGACCUACGUCAUGAUUUUGUUGGCUUUUGCUCGUUGUUCAAACACCUCGCUUGUAGAUAUGUUACAAGAAGCCGAAAAACCAGUUAAAACGUUCUUGGCUUGCCAUUGCAAAUAUGUACCUUUUCCUGGAGUUCAGCGCCAUGGACGCUGUUUACGUGGCGAGAGAUAUUGCAAAAUAAUGCAUCAUAAUACUGUUUUUUGCUGCAUCAAAUGAAACUAAAUUUGGAUAUUUAAUUUGUUUAUUGUUUGUUUAUUAAAUCAUAUAAUAAUCUUU